AUUGUCUUUUUUGUUUAUAAAAUAUUAACGCUUUAAACUGUUAUUAUUCAAAAUUUUCCAUUCAAAUUCAAACCAAUAAUACACUUUCUCCCAUCAUACCAUUCAAGUUCCAUACCCAUUCCUGGAAGCCAGACAUCCGGACAAUCUCAAAUACUCUUCCCAUCCCUUCCAUCGCUUCUCCAAGCUCUCCGAAUUCGCACCUGUGACGAUCACAAGUUUCAUUCAGUCACGCUGCACUUAUCUAAUCAAUCUUGCCACUUGAUUUCAGUCUGAUCGUGCUAUGGAUCUUAAUUACCGCGUCGAGGAGAUCUGGACACAUUUGGCCGGACGUUUCAUCUGUCCCGUGCUCGUUCAUACGUUAAAAAGCGUGGCGAGGCUCCGUUUCAACGGAAGAUCCCAUUGUGUCGACGCAAGGUUUACAUCAACUUGAACAAUUCGAAAGAUACUCUAAAUGGUAGAAGAGCAACAUUGAGCUAAUUUUUAUAUUUUUGUUUUAGAAAGAUAAUCUCGAUAUAUCUCUAUGUACAUGUUGUCGAAUUCCUUCGCACACGCGUCGAUUGUUCGACCGUGAAACUUUUGGACGCCUGUCUUGGCGCGUGCAGGUGCGUGCACAUGCAGAUGACGGCGUCCAGUGCGCACACGAGCGUUAAUUGAAACAACAGUUAGACCCGGUGAAUCAUUUAAUUAAGCGGAUUCCGAACGAGUCGCGCGACGCCGCGUCGUCUGGCGUCAUUUCGAUCUAAUUACCACGCCGGGGCUAAGUGGCUCCGGUGGAUUCGCUGAAUGCCUCGCGACGAGCGUCUUUUUAAGUGCCGACGGUUACAAGUGCUCUGUCUGCCUCCGCGUUAUCCCUUUCUCCGUCCUUUUCCGGUAGAAAAGCGGAUUGUGUAGUUAACGCGGCGUGAAAAUUGGCCGAGUAAAUGGGAACGAUGCAUUUGCGUAAAUUUCCAACCCUUUCUCCUUUUCCCUGCCCCCUCGACAGUCUCUCGACGGUUUAUUCGCGAUCUGUUGGCUCCCCGGUAAUUCUAGGGGAAUCCCUCAUCUUGUCGCCGUAAGGUAUUCGCCGGUGAAAUCGUCGACAACGAGGAAUCGUAAAAAUGACGGAAAACGAAGUCGCCAUUGUUUUUAACUCGUCUCGCGUUUAGAUCAUCGCCGAUGGUGGAUCUUUCCCCACCGAAGAAACGAUUCGUUAAUGAGAUCGAAAGAUCCAUGUUCCUUUUCUCUUGCUUUGCCUCUGCUCUAUGAUUCAAAAAACAGAGAUGUUUUUAAAUGAGAAACAGUUUCGCUUAAAGCGUCAUUUUUCAAGUUUGUUAAGUUUGAAGUAAUAUUACACCUUAACUCGAUUGCGCCAUCUAUCGAAGACUAGAAUUUUCGCAAUGGCGGUGAUCUUGAUUAUCGCUCAACGCGAUUAUUAAGAGCGAGAAAGCUUAGCGACGCGAUGUCUGCGAUGAAAAAGAAUGCACCGUGGCAGAGGAAAGGCUGGUAAAAGGGGGAGAUCCGGAGCAAAAGACGCAACUGUCAUGAAUGAAAUGCUGCUUACCACCUAUUAAUAUCCAUCACCUCCUACAACGGGUGUCGCCAGCCUCAUAACGCCACUCGACUCUCAGCAGAACAUCUUCACGCGAGAUUACUCGUCGUUGCUGUAUAGUCGUUUCUUCCUGCGGCGUAGUUUUACGCAACCGCGAGGAACAAUCUCGCCUACGUUACCUUUCUUUCCUUCUUUUUCUCUCCUCUCCUCUUCUUUCCUUCCUUCCCUCUCUUCAUUUACGUCGGUACCGUGCCCGCACAACGAACAGGCGAGAAAGAAGCGAAGGUGUGCACGUACGAAACGAACAAGGACGAAAGGCGGAGGCGAUGUCACGGAGUGUUUUAUUUACCGAGCGGGAAAGCCUAGACUUUGCACUACGCCACCGGUGCACGACACCCCCGCGUGUCUUGGAACGCUUGUGUACAAACACUGCGUCCACACGAGGAUCAUCCAACCGUGUCGGUGUGUUUGCUACAAAGCUGCAUGGCCGUCGUUGGAUCGUCUAGAAAAUGAUAAUUAUAAAUAUUUUAAUUUCUGGGAAAUUGUAAUUUUUAAAACAUUGAGCUUCGUAAUUGCAAUAUAUAAUUUUGACGAUCGGAACAGUUCACCAUGGCACAAUUCGAAGUAAUUAUUGUAAUGGCAACGGUCUGAAACACGGUAGAAAAAUACAAGGCACCGAGGAAACAAUUCAGCUGGGAAGAGCCCAACGGGAGCCGUGAACAUACACUUUAAAGCUUUCGGAAUCUGAAAACGCCGGUUCGUUGGACUUUCUCGAGAAUUUGCACGGCGGGAUAAAAGAAUCGUAAGGUGCAGCGCCGGAACGGUUGAAGCCGCAUAAAACGCAAGCCAAACAGUUCUUGUUCCUGGGACGAUAAAAACGUAACUCACGCGACACACCGGGAAGAACGACCGGUUACGACCAAGUUUUUUCAAGAUGCCGUAUCUGCGAAACCAAUCGCGCCAUCUACCCAAGUCGCUCGCGGGAGUUCCCCCAAUUGGCGGAGUAUGGAAUCAACGAGUAACUUCGUUAAGUGCAACGAACGGCGGGAGAAUGAUGACCUACUAAAAAACACUGUUUUCUAGAUUAUAAUCGCUAUUGCGGUUACGAAGCAUCUUUCUGAUCGAAAUUGAACCACCCUUUAGCCCGAUGUAAGACUCGUGACGCGUAAUUGUUAAUUUUUAUGUCUGCUGAUAAUGUCUGCUCGUCUCUGGGAGAGUGCUCGAGCAUUUUAACGGUGUUUUGUGUUCGUUAAAACGGACGAGGAAUUUUUAAUUAACACAGUUUCCGUAUAAAGCUAGUCUUUUCUGGUUUUAUUUUUGACAAUUAACGGGUGUAAAUUAAAAUGUAGGUACUUUCGAAAAAAUUAUUUCAACACUUUGUUAACGGUGGAAUGAUAUUCAAACUUAUUGUACAGGUGUAUUAAUUAUUUAAGAUUUAAAAAGUUCGAUACACUUUUUAAGAAUUUUAAAAGUAAACAUAGAUGUUUAAUUUUUCAAAAGUGUGUCUUAAUUAAACGCUAAAAAGUAACUACAAGAGCUGUGCUAGGAUUAAUUCAAGAGUCUAAUAACCAGUCUGACCAUUCUACAUCGCACGAACUUUUCUCCGGCCAGCCAGUCAUAGAACAAAGUUUCUUAUCAUAGCAUGAACUUAUAAUAAAUCUAUUAUUCUAAUAUAUAAUAAAAAAAAAUUCACGAUACUUUUGAAAUUUCAAAUUAAAAUUCAAACAGAUCCAAAAUUACAAGAAUACAAAUUGACAUAUUAAUUGUUCCUCCAAUAAAAUUUCUCAAAAUUUUUACUUAUUCUAAGAUCGUUAUACAAGCAAUACGAUAUCUUUCUAAACAUAAUUUCAUCACGAUGGGAAUAUACAUCAACACAAUAUGUACCAUCGAUGCAAAAUCAACGUCAUCGCAUCACCGAUCUGCAUAAAAUCGAAAUCAGCCAAGGAGCAGCUUCAUUCCACGGAAUGUUGUACUAUCUUUCGCCCGGCGAAUCUAUGCGCGACUCGUUUCCCUUGAUUAAAGGAAUAAUCCCCGGAGGGUGGAAGGAGUACACCGCGAUCGUGUCCUUUAACGUGGUCGCUCGAGGCCUUGCGGAACGAAGGGAAGAGAAAAGUUUUUCGCGGAAACGAAACUGGCCGAGGGGGGAGGGGGGAUCUAGGCAGAGACGAAAGAGAAUCGGAGGAAAAAGAAAGGGAAGGAACAGAUAGCGAGCAGACGGGCGCGGUCGUGCCGGACGGCAUUUUAAUAGAUUCGCGGGGUUCGAGCGAAAAAGUUGCAAAACAAAAUAAAUCGGCGUCGCGACAGGUCGGGCCCGCGCUCUCCUCCGCUCUUUCCCUUUUUCUCCUGUUUUCUCCUUCUUCCUCUCGGCUUUUUCCCUACCCUUCGCGCCUCCCUGCUCCCCUGCACGGGACGCGGGUCAUGCAUAUUCACGUGUGGCAUUCGUACGCACGGAAUUAAGCGGCCGGGGAAUUAAAGCGCUUUUCGGCGAGAGCUAGUCCAGGAGCCUUCCACCAUCCCCUCCCCCUCCACACCGUGCUCCAGGUGAUUACGCGGGGAUUUUUCGAGAGACGGCGUUUCUAUGGCGGCGCGGUAAGUACAGCUGCGAGAGACCAUGCCGCUCGCGCGUCGAUUCGACUCGCAUUAUUCCCCGAGACAAAUUGGACUCUCGCGUCCUGGACAACGCUUUUCUUUCUUUUCCUUUUUUUCUAUUUUUUUCUCCCUUUUAUCGCACUGACGAGACUCUCUUUUAGGAAAAUAUCCCGUUUCGUUGUACGAGGGAUGGUUCCAGUGCUAGUUUCUUGAUUCAUGGAAAAGGAUAUUGUGACAUUGAGACCACGUCGAGUAGAUUCCGAUACGACGAACGAGAGAGCGAUAACUCUCUCUCCAUGGAAAAAUGGUUAUAUAUAACAUUUAUUGUUCCAUUAGAAUUUAAAGGAUGGAUACUCGUUCCAUGCGGAUAAGUAUUAAGCUGUUCUCCGAGUUGGUUGAAAGAAUUCUAGCACUUCUGCGCCACUUACGAGCCCGGGAGUAGACAGCAGAGAUCUGCAUAAAUAUUCAUACCGUUCCCAGUAAAGGCAACAACAAAUGUUUUGUCGCGUGUAAAAACGACAGGGACGGGAAGGUUGGGUAGGAUAUUCCAGGCGUUCGUGAAGCGGGAGAAAAUAUGAGGAGUAAAAAAAAAUAAGAUAGAAAAAGCAAGAAGAAUCAGAAUCAAAAGAGGUUGAAGAUAAAUUGACAAAUUGAUCCCGUGGGCCGAUACGCGAUCGCAAUUGCUCGGGACGAAUUUCACCCGUAACUUUUACCCGCUCGUUAGGAAUCGUCCCAUCGUCGACGACGAUGCUUGAGCGGAGCGGAGCGCGUAAUUCGUCGGCAGCGUGUACACACCAUCGCCACGUGAUAUAUACGGUCUCGCGCGUGCUACACCUCGAUAUUCGCCGCGGAAAGAGCCGCGAGAAGAAGCGCGCGCGGAAGAAAAGGGUGCGGAGGAGCGUGGAGAGGAAGGAGAAAUCGCCGUGAGGAAGACGAAGCGUCUGAAAUAAGGCUCGAAACCUCAAACCUCCCGGAAUCUCCGGCAUCGUGCAACUAUCACGUCUCCCAACCAACCCGUGCACCUUCCCCCGGCUCACCCUUUCGCUACCUACCCCUGCGUGUGCCACACAGUCGGCCACCCCUUUCUCCGCCGCGCCGUCGCCGCCGUCGUUUUCAUCUCUCCUUUCACCCUGCCCCCUCGUCUCACCGUGCUCCUCCCCAACUUGCCCCCCUGUCUCACCCUUCCCAUUCGACCGACCGCCCGUCUAGCCGCCCUUCCAACCCCUGACGCUGUGCGCCGCGCCACCCCCGAUCGCGUCCCGACGAAACUCCUCGCCACUCCAGACGACAGCGGCUCUGGUAACAGAGACUCCUCGAAACGUCGAACGAGCCCCGUUACGAGAGCGUUUUCUCCUCGUGGAUGCGAUCGACUCGCUCUCCCCGGCACCCUGACGAAGCGUGCAAGGUCGAGCCGAGAGACCAAGAGGAGGACGAGAUCGAUCGACUGGUUCCGUUCGACGAUCUUGACGUGAAUGGAUACCAUUGAGAAGGCACGUGGUAAUUGACCUUUUUUUUCAGUCUGAUUUGGAAUCCAGGGAUACAAGGAGUGUUGUCGAAAUGGAUACAGCAUAUUUUCGUUUUUGAGCACAGUUCGAAAAGGGAUGUUGUGAAGGGAUGAUUUUGUUUGCGGUGUUUACAGUAGUAGUUGCGAUAUAUUUUAUAGAGGAAGAGGAAAAUUAUGUAAUUUUUGAGAGAAAAAGAGGGGACUUCAUUUAUUCUUUAAUAAAUGGAAGAAUGUCUAUGGAUAAUUAAUUAAUUGAUCGACCACAAAUGACAGA